CCUACGGGAGGCAGCAGUGGGGAAUAUUGCACAAUGGGCGAAAGCCUGAUGCAGCGACGCCGCGUGAGGGAUGACGGCCUUCGGGUUGUAAACCUCUUUCAGCAGGGAAGAAGCGAAAGUGACGGUACCUGCAGAAGAAGCGCCGGCUAACUACGUGCCAGCAGCCGCGGUAAUACGUAGGGCGCGAGCGUUGUCCGGAAUUAUUGGGCGUAAAGAGCUCGUAGGCGGCUUGUCACGUCGGGUGUGAAAGCCCGGGGCUUAACCCCGGGUCUGCAUUCGAUACGGGCUAGCUAGAGUGUGGUAGGGGAGAUCGGAAUUCCUGGUGUAGCGGUGAAAUGCGCAGAUAUCAGGAGGAACACCGGUGGCGAAGGCGGAUCUCUGGGCCAUUACUGGCGCUGAGGAGCGAAAGCGUGGGGAGCGAACAGGAUUAGAUACCCUGGUAGUCCACGCCGUAAACGGUGGGAACUAGGUGUUGGCGACAUUCCACGUCGUCGGUGCCGCNGCUACGACAUAAGUUACCCGUCCCGUCGGGAGGUACGGCCGGCCGAACGGACGUAAAACCGUAACGAAACGGAAAGUUAAGUACGGCGUUGAGACGUUGCCGAACGGACGACCGACCGAGGGGAGGUUAGGAG
rnacentral:rRNA from 1 species